rnacentral:rRNA from 1 species
AUUGAACGCUGGCGGCAGGCCUAACACAUGCAAGUCGAGCGGAUGAGGGGAGCUUGCUCCUGGAUUCAGCGGCGGACGGGUGAGUAAUGCCUAGGAAUCUGCCUGGUAGUGGGGGAUAACGUCCGGAAACGGGCGCUAAUACCGCAUACGUCCUGAGGGAGAAAGUGGGGGAUCUUCGGACCUCACGCUAUCAGAUGAGCCUAGGUCGGAUUAGCUAGUUGGUGGGGUAAAGGCCUACCAAGGCGACGAUCCGUAACUGGUCUGAGAGGAUGAUCAGUCACGCUGGAACUGAGACACGGUCCAGACUCCUACGGGAGGCAGCAGUGGGGAAUAUUGGACAAUGGGCGAAAGCCUGAUCCAGCCAUGCCGCGUGUGUGAAGAAGGUCUUCGGAUUGUAAAGCACUUUAAGUUGGGAGGAAGGGCAGUAAGUUAAUACCUUGCUGUUUUGACGUUACCAACAGAAUAAGCACCGGCUAACUUCGUG